rnacentral:tRNA from 1 species
CCAAAGUGCAAAUUUGGAGCAGCACCCCAAAAAGGUGCCGGGGCUUCUCCCGUUU